GUGUGCGGCUGCAGCAAGGAACAGUACUAUACUCUAAAGCAACGGGUAGAGGAGAGUAAACAGAGGAUAAACCUAAUGGAGAGCGAGUUCCUACAGAGUACUCUCUACACAGAGAAUGAGCUGGAUGAAUGCAGGGAGGAGUACAGGCUGCUCCAGCAAAAAUAUAAUGCAUUGGAAAAAAGUCAUCAGGAAUUACAUGAAAUCAACCAGGAUUUAGAGGAGAGAAUUCUUGAUGUCGAAAGAGAGACACAACUGCUUUAUGAAGACCAGGUAAAAUAUAAAAAACCAAGACAAUUCUUGUAUCUUUCAUUAUCAGAAUAUUUAUUUGCACACAUUGUAAACAUACAGUAUAUUCUUCAUUUAAACCUCAUUUUGAAAUGAAAACUUUUAAAAUUUUCCUUUCAAACUCCCAUGGAUGCUGUGAACUUGCACUCAAUCAGUGUGUGAUUUUUGUGUGAAUUUAUUAUUUCUUAAAAGUUCAUGGUAUGUUAUUGUUCAUCAAUAUAUUUAUUGGAUUUCUUUUGUUUUGUGAGUGAGUGUAAUCCCAUUGGAAACCCACCCUUACGGUGUUAAAAGCAAAAUCAUGAGUUUCAAAGCAUUAGCGUCUGAUUGUCAUGAUCAUCGAAUCGAAAAGAUUGUACUUUAUAGUAUCAUGUUUCUUCUCUUUUGCCAUUUUCAAGGAAUGUAUCUGUUGCAGUAAUGGUUUUGUUUGGAAGCAUGGAGAUAAUUGUUGGAAGUUGUAUCUUUGUUCUGUUUCUUUUCAUUUCAUAAAGUCCCUUGUGUGUUCCAAAAUGAUAUGCUACAAAUUAUGAAGCAGAAAACCAGACUUUAUAUAUUCUUUUCUCAUACUAGUACAAUCAACUUUUUUUGUUUUAAAUGUUUAUGUCCAUUUUGAUUUUUUUUUAAAGAUAUAUUUUCAGUUCAUACAUUUUUUAUGCUAGAACAUUAAAUCUUUCCUGUCUUUCAAAAUGCAAAAUUGAUUUCAGCGUCCCUCUGCCCCUGAAAAAUAAACUAAAAAAUAUCUGUAUAUUAAGAUUAUGAAAUUAUCUCAUAAUUAUGAAAAAAAAUCAGAUCCUUAUUGAAUCAGGCUACUUAUUUAAUUUGAAAAAAAAAUGAAACAACAUUCCGCUGCUGUAAAUAAUUACUUACAUAUAUGAAUCACUCAUUAAUUAAAUAUUCCUGGUACUUUUCCUUAAAUUUUCUGUCAGCAUUUUCAAUAUAUGAAAACUAUAAACUUGUUGUUUAAGUUGAUAUUGCAUAAUGCUUUUUCCACUACAAAUGGAAAUUUAGAUUACAAAUUUUUCAUCAUAUGAUACAUAUUUUAUUCCCAUACUAGCCGUCAUUUUUUGUACAAAUUCUUCUACUACUCAUGUUUCCAUCAUUACUUUCUCAUCAAACUGCUCUUUUAAGCAACCCUAAGUUUUCCUAUUUGUUUCAUUUGCUUUUUAUCUCUACAAACACAAAAUUAAAACUCUACUUCAUACCAAGAUAUCAUUUAUGAUAUUUAUCAUUAUUUACAAGGAUCAUGGAAUGCUUUACAACAAAUAACUUGUUUUCCUUUUUAUUUCAUUUAAUGUUUAUAUCUAAAGACAUCAUCAAGCAUAUUUCUCAUUAUUUACAACAUCAAAUAAUGUUACAACAAAUCCGCUGGUAUACCCUCUAAACUUUUAUAGAAAUUAUACAUUGCUCUUGUAUCGGACUACCACUUGUAGACAUCAGUGUUUGUACGGAAGUGAAGGGUUGGAUUCCUCUCUGCGAUUCAUGGUUAGUUAAAACAUUGUAAAAAAAAUUAAAGUUUCAGAGCUUCUCUCCCUGCAUGAAACCGCCAAGCUGCAUUUCAAGUUACCAAUUCUCACAUUUCAUCAUAGGUAAAAAAUGGGGAAUACGGGGAAAGCUGCUUUGGAAAGCGCUUUUAUUGCAGGAUUCCUGCAAAGUCACAGACUUUUGAAAAGGUGUCCAACAUGUCAAAUUUCACAGGGGUGUAUUACAGCAACAUUUAUUUUUAUCUUAUCUUGCCAUAGAAUCUCAAACCUCUAUAAAAAUUUCUUUGAAUUGAUUGUCUAUCUAUAGUGUAUGGAUGUUAUGUUAUUUUUGUAUAGUUUGUGUGGGUUUCGCAUAAUUUCUUACUGUUCUCAAGUUUCAGUUCUUUCAUUUAAUUUGGCGAUUCAUCACCUCCUAAAAGCUUUUCUAUCUCAAAUGCUUAAAAUAACUGCUGACUUAAAGAUAAAUAUGGUCACAAGUAAGUAAUAUGAAAAAAUUUGUAGCCUUUAUUCCAAUGCGCAUUUACAUUUAUUAUUCAGAACUACAUUGUAUAAGGACUUUCAAGCCUGUCUAAAGUUUUGGCAUUCAUUUAAAAUUCCAAUCUUACAAAAAGUGUAUUGGUCAUUGUUUUUUUUUUUCAACCAUUUAAUUAGAUCUUUGUGAAAAAAAAAUUGUAUUUUGUGCCCUCUCUCAGUAAGGUGUUUAUUUUUCUGUAAGAACUUAAAAUGCUAAUUUUUAUGAAAGAUUUAGUUAUUGGAUAUCAGAAAGGCACAGUCAAAGAUUAUAUCCUGAAAUUUUAGCCCUUUUCUUGCUUGAGAAAAAGGAUUAAUAUUUUCACAUUCAUAUGAUGUAAUUGGAGUAAAGACAUGCUUUUAAGGAGAUUGUCCAAACUUUAAUAUAGGAUUGAAGUCUAUGUUGAGUGUGUGAGUUAAUAUCCCUUUGGCUACAAAUAGUCUCUUUAUUUUGUUCUAUAGUCAUCAAUCUGGAAAUGGAAUGAUCCAUAUUUCACAAAAUUAAACUUGUUUUUUCCGUAAUGAUGGAGUUCCAUCUUAUUUCCCAAAUAAAAAAUCACAUUUAAAGAGCUGAACUUGUAUAAUGUAUAAAGCUAUUAGAGACCAUAUAACAGUGUACAUGUAGAAUUGUAGAUACACAUCUUUUGAUGAUUUUCGUGUAACACUUUUCAUGUCAGUUGAAUUUUUUUCACAUUUUCAUCAAUUUCUCUUAACUUUAUUUUAUUUUAAGGGUCUUUUAAAUAUUUUACAUGCACCAGCAUGAGCAAUUUCAGCAUCAGUAUGUCUCUCUAUCGUCAUAUUUGAUGAUAUUAAUUUUGAUUGUCAUAUUAGUGAUGUUUAUUUGGAAUCGGGCUAGAGUAUAUAAACCCAGAAACAGUUUCAUU